rnacentral:rRNA from 1 species
GACGAACGCUGGCGGCGUGCCUAAUACAUGCAAGUAGAACGCUGAAGGAGGAGCUUGCUUCUCUGGAUGAGUUGCGAACGGGUGAGUAACGCGUAGGUAACCUGCCUGGUAGCGGGGGAUAACUAUUGGAAACGAUAGCUAAUACCGCAUAAUAGUAGAUGUUGCAUGACAUUUGCUUAAAAGGUGCAAUUGCAUCACUACCAGAUGGACCUGCGUUGUAUUAGCUAGUUGGUGGGGUAACGGCUCACCAAGGCGACGAUACAUAGCCGACCUGAGAGGGUGAGCGGCCACACUGGGACUGAGACACGGCCCAGACUCCUACGGGAGGCAGCAGUAGGGAAGCUGCGGCAAUGGACGUAAGUCUGACCGAGCAACGCCGCGUGAGUGAAGAAGGUUUUCGGAUCGUAAAGCGCUGUUGUAAGAGAAGAACGAGUGUGAGAGUGGAAAGUUCACACUGUGACGGUAUCUUACCAGAAAGGGACGGCUAACUACGUG